UGAGCUAUGUUCAUGCCAUGUUUGUAGUUCCAUCGGCUAUGUUUGUUGGUAGAUAAACCUUUUCACAUAUUGACAAGUGCUUACAAUAAUCUAAACAUAGAGAGAAGGGCUACAGCCUUUCAUUUCAAAAGGAGUGGUUGAUGUGUAUAGGAGAAACUCAAUAUUGGAUGAAGCGACAAGUCAUAGGCACGUUUUGAGGUUUAGGAGAGGACCUUCAGGACUCCAAAAUGGCAGAAUCCAAAGCUCCACCGAAAGUCUUUAGUUCUCCAGAAGAAGCAAUCAAAGCUAUCAUGGAGGUUAAUCGAUUGGCGACGUUAGAGGAGACUCAGCAAAAGUACAAUGAGCUUGAUUUUACUAGUCCCGAAGUCAUGCUCGAUAUAAAGAAAAUAAUACUUGAUUUGAGCAUUACUGUGCUUCAGAACCU